UGAGACUGUGCCUGGUUUGUAUGCAAUUUUUGUAAAUAUUUCAACGGCUCUAGAAAAGUUGGUGUAGUCGUCUUUGUAAGGGUGUCGCGUCCUUUCUUAGCUCAGCCACUUCGUUUGGAUCUCAUGGUCCUCACUACUGACCUCAGGAGUUUUUUCUGCCUUCAGCCUGCUGAAUUCUCGAGUCCACUCUCAAGGAAUCAAGUCAGACAAGACAGUUUGCUGGGAACUCUCUCAGUGGGCGCCACAGGCUGCAAACGGA